rnacentral:rRNA from 1 species
GACGAACGCUGGCGGCGUGCCUAAUACAUGCAAGUCGAGCGGACCACUUCGGUGGUCAGCGGCGGACGGGUGAGUAACACGUGGGCAACCUGCCUGUAAGACUGGGAUAACACCGGGAAACCGGUGCUAAUACCGGAUAAUCCUUUCCUUCACAUGAGGGAAAGCUGAAAGACGGUUUCGGCUGUCACUUACAGAUGGGCCCGCGGCGCAUUAGCUAGUUGGUGAGGUAACGGCUCACCAAGGCAACGAUGCGUAGCCGACCUGAGAGGGUGAUCGGCCACACUGGGACUGAGACACGGCCCAGACUCCUACGGGAGGCAGCAGUAGGGAAUCUUCCGCAAUGGACGAAAGUCUGACGGAGCAACGCCGCGUGAGCGAUGAAGGCCUUCGGGUCGUAAAGCUCUGUUGUCAGGGAAGAACAAGUACCGGAGUAACUGCCGGUACCUUGACGGUACCUGACCAGAAAGCCACGGCUAACUACGUGCCAGCAGCCGCAGUAAAAC